rnacentral:lncRNA from 1 species
GUGCCAGCACCAGCUGGUUUUCCCAGAAGCGGUCUGGGCCUUAUCCCAGUACUGCCCCCCUCAUCAGGACUUCAUUUCUGGACUUUUUUUGCAAAAAUGCUAGCACCUCAGUAAAAAAGAGGAUUCACUGGUUCCACCAGAGUUCCCUCACAAUUCCUGUGACCAGACACAGUGAGGAUCUUUGCUCCUUUCUCCCUUUGCAGCUCAGUAAUGCCAGCCUGACAGGAUGUGGCCAGAUCUAUACACUUAAAGCUCAUUGUUUUAUGUCCUCUCCAUCUGCUGUUCUCUCCCUCUGCUUUCCAACGCCUUUUUAAAUAUUUGAAAACUGUCAACAUCUCUCUCUCUCUCUUCCCCCGCCCCCUUCAUCUUAUUUUUCUCGAGGCUAAACAGACCCAGUUACUUCAGCAUCUCCACAUAUGACUUGCCUUCCAGACCUUUGAUCAUCCUUGCAGCUCUCCUCUGAAUCUUUUUCAAUUUGUCAACAUCCUGCUCGAACUGAGGUGCUCAAAACCAAACACAGCACUUCAAACGAGGCCUUGCUGAGCACAAGCCUCACUUGGCUAGGGGAGGAUGGAUGAGAGGAGAGGUGCUGCUGCUUUACUGGGUCAAAGUGGUGGCUGGGACCUGUGUCUGCUCUGUGGUCCAUUGAAAUUGCGUGCCAGGGUAGCUGCUGCACAGUGCCGAGGAAAGCUGACAGAUUAAAGAAACAAGUGGCUUUCUUUGCUUUGUUGCUUCAUUCUGUUUCUGCUUUUCACAGAGAGAGAAGUGCCACAGAGCACGUAGAGACCACCGUCUGGGCCCUGGAGAUGCCUACAAAUCUGGUAAGCCCAGCCUCACCUUGUGGCGUCCUUUGAGCAGUCUAGCACUUUGGCAGGGUCCGCCAGGGUCAACUGGCUGGGUCUGUGGGAUGCCAUUUUAAACUUCCUGCUAUGCUGCAACAGGAGCACUAUGGGAAGUUUAAAAUGGUGCCUUGUAGAUGCUUGUGGCUGCUAAGGAAGCCUAUGGCCACCAAUGCACGGCCCCUGCCCCAGCAGAGGACACUUUGUUGAGGGCCCUCUAAAGCCUGUAGCCAGACCUGCCUUCAGACCUGCUGAGCACUUCAAACUGAUCUUGCAAAAAUUAGAUUUGCAGAGUGCAACGUUCUGUGCCUAACACCAAAUUGGCACUUGCCUGGAAUUGUAGCACACACUGUGUCUCCGAGAGGGGCUGGGACUGGUGACACACAGUCUACAAGCCACCCGUGGCCCUGGCAAGGCUUUGUUUCAUGUGCAUGGUCUUUUUGAUUUCCCCAGAAUCCUCAUUUUCAAGGUUUCUGGAGAAGACUGAGAGCCUUGGGUAAGGGGCAAAAUGACAUGACUGCUUCAUGCCAUGACCCUUGUGUUGAAAUGUGGGUUGUGCCAAAUUCCCAUAGAGCAGGGGCAGGAUGAGAAAAAGAGUGCAGCACAGGUGGAAGGUGAAUGCUGAACAUUUUUCCUGCCCGUGACCCUAUUACCACCACCACGUCUCCUGAGCUGCCUUUUUCCUGGUAGCUAUUACUUCUGGUUUCACCCCAUCAGGGGAACACUGCUUAUGGAGAAGUGGUUGUGAUGUUGGACUUGGCAGCGGCCUGGUUGUAUCAUAUGGGUUUGCUGCCUUCAACUCUAGUUUGCCCCCAAAACUUGAGUUAAUCUGUAAUGCUGCCCAUGGACUUUAUGUUACUGACCUCUGCUUUAGGGAAAGUUCCAAACAUUCUAGAGAUGAAAUAUAAUAAAAGAAUACCCUGUUCUCCCU